UUUUUUAUACCUGUUUUCUUCCUAUGGCCCAGGGCCUUUGGGCCUUGUGGGUCUCUCAGUCUUUCCUGCUCCCUUCUGCUAGCACCCCACACUGAGGGUGGUACAAAGCUGAGUUUGGUUAUGCCUGAGACCCUAACACUGAAGAAGGGGGCCCUUUUGCUUCUGGUGUCAUUGCUUCUGAACGAUCUCUAUAGAAAGAAUAGAUUAAACUGGGUGGGGGUGCAGUGGCAUAUCUCUAUAAAUCCUAGUGACCUGGAAGGCUGAGGUAGGAGGACUGCAAGUUCAAGGCCAGCCUCAGCAACUUAGAGAGACCCUGUCUCAAAAUUAAAAAAAAAAAAAAAGGCGGGGGGACUGUGGUACAUCUUGUCAUUUUUCUAGCCAGGCAUCCCUACGACCCCACUCCACCUGCUUUCUAGCUCCUGUAGCAUGGCCUCCAAGCCAUGAAACAUAGUCUUGGGUGGCAGGUUUGCCUACCUGCCUGACUGUCCCAACCAAGGAAGAAGCAACAAGAUCUCCCCAAGCUGUGGGACUUGGAAGGGUUAAGGAUAGCCCAGGACCAUCUGGUACUCAACAGGAGGCAGGGUACAGAAAGCCAUGGCAGCCCUGCCUGAGAACCUGGGGGCUUCUUUUCUCCCCUUGUUUGAGCACAUUGAGUUCCUCCUUAAGGAAAUCAUAAACGUUAAACAGAUUCUGUUAUGUUGAACUGCAUUAAAGUGUCCUAGGUGGAUGCUGGGAACACAGCAAGGACAGAUGAUACUAGGAAUACUAGGCUGGAUGUAGUGGUUAUAGGGGAAGCUCCCUAUAGUAUUAAAAAAUAUAUAUAUAUAGGCUGAGUGGGAGGGGUGGAGAAAACAGGACCUGGACACACACCUAGCAGAACCUAGUUUGGUACUUAUCUUCCUCCUGAAACACCCUGGAGAAGGCUGCUCAGGUGUGGGAGGAGCAUUUGUGAGCAGGAGUCACCACCUAGGAAUACUAGGAAUACUAGGCUGGAUGUAGUGGAUUAUGUAGCCUAUAAUCCUAGCUACUCAGGAGGCUGAGGCAGGAGGAUCACAAAUUCAAGGCCAGCCUGGGCAACUUAGUAAGACCCUAUCCCAAAAUAAAAGAAUGAUUUUUUUUUUUUUUGAAAAGUGCUGGAAAUGUAGCUUGGUGGUAUAGUGCUUGCCUAAGCAUGUGCAAGACCCUGGGUCCAAUUCCCAGUACUGCCUACCCCCCACCCCACAAAAUAAUACUACCACUUUUUGUUCAAAUGGCCUCUUUGUUUAAUGCAUAAAUUUUAUUAUUUAAUCCUUUAAUUUGUUAUUUAAUCCUAUUUGAUUAUUUAAUUCUUACAACUUUCUAAGAGAUAUAUGCUGUUGUUAUCCUCAUUUACAUCUUAGGAAAUGAAGCUCAGAGAAAUGAAGUCACUUGCCCAAGGUCACACACAGCUAGACUGCCUCCAGUCUUCAUACAUUCUAUCCCUUGUGUCCCCCCCCAAGGGGUGGGCGGGAGUGGGAGCUGAGUAGUGGAGAGAAAAGGUGGGUGCAUGCUGGCUUCCACACUUCCCCCAAGUUCCUUCUGCCUCCACCCAAGCUGUCUUUCUGGCCUCUGGGAGAGUGUGGGAAGGUGAAGCUUUCCCACAACACCUAUCCAAUGCCCUGGGAGGAAGCAGGCAGAACCUGUCUUCCAGGCGCUAUGUUGGUGGGGGACCUGGCCUGGGAAGUGGUCUCAUUGGGCUUGUUGGGAGGGCUGGCCCUGGCCCUUUCUAGUGUGUCCUCUCAACUUGGCAGGGGGCAGAUGGCCUGGCAGAGAGGUGACAGCUCACAACUUCUCAGAUUCCCAUUUUCUGGUGGCUGAGCUCCAUAAACACCUGGGCUGUCUGCCUCCACUUUCCACCUUGGGCCUAGAUAGUGACUCCCCACACCCCUGGCAUCUGGAAUGCCCAUCAGCACUGAGUGCCUGUGAAACCAGAGGCACUCAGACCCCCAAAUUAAACACAGCCAUGUGGGCAGAGAAUUUUCACUGAAGCCACUCAUUUGUCCAAGGAGCUUCCCCUAUAACCAUACAUCCCAGACUUCCCCCAGCAUUGCAGAGGGGUAGCCCUAGGGAGGAGAUGGGGCAGGGCGGGGACAAAGGGUGCAGAAAUGUCGCAACCAGAAUGUCAAGCCAGAUCCCAGAGUUGCCCUCCCCUCUCCAGAGAUCCCAGGCCUUGGGAGAUAGAUGGGAGGCAUCUUAUAGGGAUGGCCACUUUCAGUCCUUAUGGCCACCCUAAAAAGAUGCUGUUAUCAUCUCUUUAACAGAAAAGGAAACUUGGGUCAAAAUCCCUAAGUUGACAGUGGCCCCAUGCUUGACUCCUUCCUGUACCACCUCCCAGUCCUUAUCAACCUGUGACAUGGGGAUGGAGUUGAGUGGAAGGAAAGAAGGCCUAGAAUAUAGGGCUGAGAAGGGGCAGCCUCAGGUGUGGGAGGAGCAUUUGUGAGCAGGAGUCACCACCUCCAUCCACAUCCACAUAAAUUGUGGCUCUUAAAGCUGCCAGGUGUGACCACCAAUCAUUUGUCCAUUCUAGUUGGGCACCUGCCAUAUGCAGGGCUUAUGUACCAGGACCCAGAGAUUACGUUUCUAUCCCUGGGCAGUACUCUGGAGCCAACAUAAUGAGUGCCACAUGACAUAAGGGAGGAGUUACUUAGGACAGGGAAGGGGCAGCCAGUACUGGGCUGGGGUAAGAGAGGGAGCCUUUAAAAAAAAGAGUAGAAAUCAGCCAGUCAAAAGAUGAUGGGUGGUAAGUUUCUGGCAGAGGGAGCCAAGUGGGCCUUUGUGGGCUGCUGAGAAACGGUGGGUGCAGUAGACAGAGUCAAGAGGACAGGCCUGUGCCUAGGCAGCCCAGGAAUCAGAGGCCCUGAAGGCAGGCCUGUGGGUUUCCAAGCCUAAGGAACCUGGGGCCAGACCCGCCCACAGUCUCCUUGGACCUCGCUGCGAACUGGACCGGGAACAUUCCAGGCUAAUCGCAGCUCAGAUCGGCAGCUCCAGCUCCAGAGGCUCUGCCUCAGGACCUCCUACACCCGGGAGCCAGCUCGGGAGCUUGCUAAGUUGCCCAGGCUGGCCUCGAACUUGUGAUCCUCCUGCCUCCCCAGAUGCUGGGAUUAUAGGUCUUCCCAGCCUCCCAGCCUACCCUUCCAGAACUGGAGAGAGCAGAGCGUCCUCAGGAAAGUUCUUCGGCUUCUGCCUCCUCACAUCCCAGGGCUGUUUAACUCCAGCGUCUCAAAAACAAGAUUCAUGGGCUGGGGUGGUGGCUCAGUGGUAGAGCGCUUGCCUAGCAUGUGUGAGGCACUGAGUUUGAUCCUCAGCACCGCAUAAAAAAUAAAUAAAUAAAAUAAAGAUAUUGUGUCCAUUAUAGCUACAAAUAUAUAUUUUUUUUAAUGGGAGUCAUUUGGGUUUUCACGAAGAAGGGGACAAACCACAGGGCCAGAGUGUCCUGGCACAGGGGAAGGGGUUUAGUCCAGCUUGGUGGUUUGCCUGGGCACAGCCUGGCCAGCAUCAGCCAUGGUCACUUUUGUUAGGUGGGAUUAUUACACUGAAGGAAGAGGAUAGGUGGAGGAAUCCCACACAAAGAUGGGUAAGGGAGGGGACAUCACAAACUACAGGAGACAUGGGGGAGCAGAUAUUUGUGGCUCAGGCUGGCCACUCAUUCCAAGGUGAGUGGCCUCCGCACAGCUCCAGCUCCUGGAACUGGGUGUGCACCUGCCCUGUGAUUUAAUUGGCCCCCUCCCACUCCUGCCUGCUCUGACUCCAUCACAACUGGUGCACCUGGCCCUGCAGGGGCCCCUGCCUGAAUCCUGUACUUUAGAAGAGGAAGUGCAUGCCACCUUUACCCCAGUUACAGCCAUCUGUUGAAUCCAUUAAUAUAUGGUUUUAACAGGAGCCCAGUGUGAUGGUUUUUUGGAUCUGAGGUAUCCCCCCAAAACUCACAUGUGAGACAAAGCAAGAAGGUUCAGAGGAGAAAUGAUUGGAUUCUAAGAGUCUUAACCCAAUCAGUGAUUUAAUCCCCUAAUAGGGAUUAACUGAGUGAGAACUGAAGUGGUAGUGAGUGGCUGGAGGAGGUGGGAAUUAGGGCAUGGCUUUGGGGUAUAUAUUUUGAAUCUCAAGAGUGGAGAAGCUCUGUUUCCUGAUCACCAUGAUGUGAGCUGCUUCCUUCUGCCACCCUCUCCCGCCAUGAUGUUCAGCCUCACCUGGAGCCAGCCUUCUAUGGACUAAGACUUCUAAAACUGUGAGUCCUCAAAUAAACUUUUCCUCCUCUAUAAUUGUCCUGGUCAUAUCCCUUAGUCACAGCAGCGAAAAAGCUGACUAAAACACCCAGUUUCUUCCCAGGCAGCCACUCGUCUGCUCCUUCUUCCACCUCCAAGGAGCACAGUUUUGAAAGUCAAAGACAUUUAAGUUUGAAUCCAAACUCUUUCCACUUUUUACUUGUGAGUGGGGACCAAAGCAAGUUACUUAGCUUCUUGGGUCUUAGGUUUUUCAUCUCUGAACUGGCUGAUUCUUGGCACAGUGAUGCACAUCUGUAAUCCCAGUGCCUCAGGAAGCUGAGGCAGGAGGAUCACAAAUUAGAGAACAGCCUCAGCAAUUUAGCAAGAGCCCCAACCACUUAGCAAAACCCUGUCUCAAGAUUUAAAAAAAAACAUGUAAAAAAGGGCUGGAAAUGUAGCUCAGUGGUUAAGGGCCCCUAGGUUUAAUCCCCAGUUAAAAAAAAAAAAAAGCAAGUUUGAACUGGCUGAUUCUUGUGAUAAAAAAAAAAAAUGGAAAAAAAAAUAAUGCUAAUGUUUAUCAAGUACCCACCAUGUGCCAGGAUGUUUCAUGUAUUAGCUCACUAAAUAUUCAGAACCACCCUGUGAGAAUGGUACUGUUAUAUUGUCCCCAUAUUAUAGGCAAGAAAACUGAGGCUCAUUUAAGGGAGUUGCCAAAGCUGGCAACUACAGAGUUGGGAUAUUCCUCAACACCCUGACACCAUGCUCUCAGCCACCCCAGGGUGCUGGCGGCCGGCAUGGAUGGGCACCAUAACUACAGCUGGUUCCUUGCCCCACUUUGGGGUAGCAACCAGGAAUGCUGGCCCGAGAGGCUGGUUCACUGCCCAAGGCCCUAGCCCCACCCGGGUCUCGAACC